AUUGAACGCUGGCGGCAUGCUUUACACAUGCAAGUCGAACGGUAACAGGGUGCUUGCACCGCUGACGAGUGGCGAACGGGUGAGUAAUGCGUCGGAACGUGCCGAGUAGUGGGGGAUAACGCAGCGAAAGUUGUGCUAAUACCGCAUACGUACUGAGGUAGAAAGUGGGGGACCUUCGGGCCUCACGCUAUUCGAGCGGCCGACGUCUGAUUAGCUAGUAGGUGAGGUAAGAGCUCACCUAGGCGACGAUCAGUAGCGGGUCUGAGAGGAUGAUCCGCCACACUGGGACUGAGACACGGCCCAGACUCCUACGGGAGGCAGCAGUGGGGAAUUUUGGACAAUGGGCGCAAGCCUGAUCCAGCCAUGCCGCGUGUCUGAAGAAGGCCUUCGGGUUGUAAAGGACUUUUGUCAGGGAGGAAAUCCUAGUGGCUAAUAACUACUGGGGAUGACAGUACCUGAAGAAUAAGCACCGGCUAACUACGUGCCAGCCGCCGCCGUAACAC
rnacentral:rRNA from 1 species